rnacentral:lncRNA from 1 species
CUUCUCCCUCUUCUUCCUCUCUUCUUCUCCCCACGCCCCACAGCUUCUCGCUGCAGCCCUCGCUGCAGCCACCUCCUCUUCUUCUUCUUCUUCUUCUUCUUCUUCUUCUUCUUCUCUUCUCCCUCUCUUCUUCCUCUCUUCUUCCUCCUCUCUUCUUUUCCCUCUUCUUCUUCUUUUCUUCACUCCUCACGCCCCACCGCUCCUCUCUGUUUCUCGAAAAAACAGAGUGCGUGGGAGGUGGUGGGAUAAUAUCGAAAUUUUCGGUUUUCUUUAUUUUCUUCUUUUUACAACUUAACAGUUUAGUCCUUGAAAUUUUCAUAUUUACAUAUAGGUCCCCCGAUUUAUAAAUAAAUCUUUAUUAAUAAUUUUCAAAAGCGAGGUAUAUUACA